rnacentral:rRNA from 1 species
AUUGAACGCUGGCGGCAGGCCUAACACAUGCAAGUCGAGCGGAUGAAGGGAGCUUGCUCCUGGAUUCAGCGGCGGACGGGUGAGUAAUGCCUAGGAAUCUGCCUGGUAGUGGGGGAUAACGUCCGGAAACGGGCGCUAAUACCGCAUACGUCCUGAGGGAGAAAGUGGGGGAUCUUCGGACCUCACGCUAUCAGAUGAGCCUAGGUCGGAUUAGCUAGUUGGUGGGGUAAAGGCCUACCAAGGCGACGAUCCGUAACUGGUCUGAGAGGAUGAUCAGUCACACUGGGACUGAGACACGGUCCAGACUCCUACGGGAGGCAGCAGUGGGGAAUAUUGGACAAUGGGCGAAAGCCUGAUCCAGCCAUGCCGCGUGUGUGAAGAAGGUCUUCGGAUUGUAAAGCUCUGUAAGUUGGGAGGAAGGGCAGUAAGUGAAUACCUUGCUGUUUUGACGGUACCAACAGAGUAAGCACCGGCUAACUUCGUG